AUUGAACGCUGGCGGCAUGCUUUACACAUGCAAGUCGAACGGUAACAGGGAGCUUGCUCCGCUGACGAGUGGCGAACGGGUGAGUAAUGCAUCGGAACGUACCCAGUCGUGGGGGAUAACGUAGCGAAAGUUACGCUAAUACCGCAUACGUCCUGAGGGAGAAAGCGGGGGACCGUAAGGCCUCGCGCGAUUGGAGCGGCCGAUGUCGGAUUAGCUAGUUGGUAGGUAAAGGCCUACCAAGGCGACGAUCCGUAGCGGGUCUGAGAGGAUGAUCCGCCACACUGGGACUGAGACACGGCCCAGACUCCUACGGGAGGCAGCAGUGGGGAAUUUGGACAAUGGGCGAAGCCUGAUCCAGCCAUGCCGCGU
rnacentral:rRNA from 1 species